CCAACAUGAUAUUUGCGUUAACAAUUAUUGUUUUGAUGAGAAAUGCUGAUACAUAUUAUGGUGUGUGAACAUAGCUACUGAACCUCAAACCUAAGCCUAAAACCAGCCAGAUGGAAGAAUUUUUGCCAGAAAAAACGAAUCACACUCAUUGGACUGCCAGAACUUGCAAUGGCUGCCUUUGAACAGCCAAAAGAACGCGAGAAAAUAACUCUCACUGCAUUAUUGUGGAGAGGUACGCCAACACGUACAAAUGUUUGAUAUAUAAAUGCAAGUUUACAUUAAAGAUUAGCAGAGCAUUUACAACAGGAUGGCAUGACCUCUAAUUGGCCUUUCUCUAAAUCAUGUGCAUCUAAGCUACGCUCACACGCAAAUUGGAGCAAUAAAACCUUUGGAAAGAAACCACCACACUAACUUCCUGUCAGCUUAAAAUCCUCAACUCCAUUUUCAAUCAAGAGUGUCCUAACAAAGAAGCCUUAAUCCCUCAUUGACCUUUAAAUGAAGAAUGAAUUCACAAACAAUUCAAAAGCAUCUUUACAUGCUAAAUUCUGCAAGACACUUAAUAAAAGAAAUAAUAACAACGAAACAAAAAAACAAUAACUUCUGACAGUAUGAGCACACCAUAGAAAGAUGGUUUGCACUGCCGACCACAUAUAGAGAGCAUUAAAUUUGAUAUGCACAAAAAGUCCACCUGAUUCAUCUCCCGUCAGAAAAGGCACUGUGCGAAAAUUUUUUCAACAUAUUCUGUGCAUAACAAGUACUUUUCAAGACUUCAAUCCCAUGAAAGUUAAUGCAUAUCAGUGACCAAAUGCACCAUGAGAAAAAAAAAAACACAAAUCCACCAGUUCUCACUUCCCAGGGUAAGUUUAGGAUAGAUAUGAUACCAUCAGCUAAGGAAAACACAAUUAUUGACAUAGAAGAUAUUAAGCAUUCCCUUUUCACUCACAUAAAGGACAAACCAAGGCAAAAUGCUUAAAUUUGGAUUAUGAAUUAUUUUCUUGAGCAUAUCAAAAUCAUUUCUUUGGUCAUUCUAAGAAUCAAAAUUAGAGCUUUAGGCUCAUGAAUCUAACUACUACAUCAACUAAAUCAUAAGAAUUCCAUGUAUUAGAAAAUUGCACUGAAUUAAAAAUGCAUUCAUAUAGUGCAAUAAGAAACACUAUGCCAAAAUAUCCUACUCAUACCAAAAAACUAUUGCUACUGCUACUACUAGAUAGAAACAAAAUGACUCAGAUUAAGUUCAGACAUGAUGCAGCUUAAAUUACCAUGACUGAGACAUAAAUCCUCCAUUGAAUACCAAAACUACUUGCGCCGAAGACAUCAAGAAAACCCUUUGCCAAGCUUUUGAAUUGCACAAAACAUCUUUCUUCUUGAUCCAACUGCAUUAAUCCCCAUAUCCUUCAAAUCCUCCAGUGUCAACAUUGGUAAAACCUCAUCAUCCACCUCAUGGAUUUCAAAAACUGGUGCAUAUCGCCCUAACCCUAUACUAUUGAGCCAAAUCCUCACCCCAUCCUCUCCUCCACCACCAUACCUCCCAUUGUUCCUGUAAUCUCUGGCGUCAGUAUCCGAUGGACCCGAUAAUUCAACCCCAUCGUGAUGAUGAUUGUGAUUAUCCCUUGCUCUGAUUGUCCGUCUAUUGUAAUAAAUUUCCCUCUCGUUUCUCUCGUUCCCGUCUCCCAAAUUCUCGAGGGAGUGAAUAGGAGACUGUUCCUUUAACGGACUUUCAGAAUUUUCCAUAUCGAAUCCACGAUAAGCGUCAUCCACAUCUUCACCACCGCUGUACUUCUCAUCUCCUUCGACAUUGUUGUUGGCGCCGCCACCGCCAGCAUCCUCGAUUUUGGAGACCCAAUUGGAUCUGACUCGCUUGGUGGUGGCAGUGGAAGCCCGCUUUUUCGAAUCCUUGACUCUCCAGCUUCCAAUUGCGACGGUAUCCAAAUUGACCUCUUUGUCCUCAUCUAGGGUUUCAGCGAACUCACCGCUAGUAGUUAAAUUGGUUAAAGCCCGGGUCUUUGAGCCUUUAUUAGAAGUACUGGGGUCCUUUUUGUGAUCAAGAGACAGGAGCUGAUGAUGCUUCCAUUGCUUAUUAUUGGCGGUCCUCCGCGAAUGAGCAUCGUAGAGCUGUUCGCCGCCGAUUUCGCCUAGACGGACACUGGGCCUUCGCUGGCGCUUGGAGCCGACGGUUUCAAAUGACGUGACUGCAAUUGGAGGUCCUACUCUUUCUACUGCAGAGCUUCCGCCGUUUAGCUGGCCCUCCUGUGGAGGCAAGUCAGCCAUUUUCGAAGACGAAAGUUUUCAGAUCCCCAGGCAAUAUUCCCGGUGGCUCAAUAACUUUGGUCCACUUUAUCUGUUUCCGUCUAGGGUUAGCUAAUAUGCGCCCGCGAGCAUUUUUCUCUUAUUAAAAGGAGAGGGAGCGAGAAACGAAACAAUAGAGGGAAAAAUAUAGACAAUGUUUGAUUGGGCUAAGUAGGAGACGAAUGAAUCCCCAGAGCU
rnacentral:misc_RNA from 1 species